GAUGCCAGCAAUUCUUAGGGCUCUGAAAGGGUCUCUGAAACCUAGAAAUUGUCCUCUUUCUGACACUUCUCUGCCUCCUCCUCCUCUCCCUGCUUCUUAGGGGAACCUUAGGGGCAUCUGUGUAUGGAGAGUGGUGGAGUUACCAUGGAGACCUAAGCUGCAUUGAAUCAUGCUAGUGGGUUCUGGCCAGCAUCUUUUUUUAAUGAAACCGACUACACCAGAGCAGAAAAUACCGGAAUGCAGCACAGGUAGUAAAGAGUCUCUGCCCAGCCGUACAGGGGAAAGAUGAGCUUAUCCUGGGCUAACCUGGGCUCGAAUGGUCAGACAGAACUGCGGUGAAGCCGGACGAAGGUCUGCGGAGUGUCCUCCAGCUCUCUGCCCUUGGCUGUUCUAUUGAGGAUCUUUAUCAUUUAGUCGACGGUGAUUACAGCUAACGUUCGGAUGACGGGUCGGCUGCUCACCAGUGACUGUUGGCUUGACAGACUUUGCUGAGGCAGUGCAGGCGUGCUCCCUCCACAGAGACCCAUCUCCCAACCCACGUCCAAGGCAGAAGGACAUCAGAAGGAAGUGAGAAUCCCCAGUAUCUUCCCAGGAUUGCUGCUCUGGGGCCGUUUAAUCCAGCAGAGGGUCACCUGAAAACAAUUCACGGUUGCCACCUGCAGGCAAGGCCCUACUCCAAGGUCACCAUGUGAGGGAAGGCAGGACAGUCGGCAAAUGGGAUCCAACAUACACACCGCGAAGAAUGGACUCUCCGUGGAGCGCCCAUCAGAACCAGCCAUGGAGCUGGUACCGGAGCCCGCGUGCCCGCACCCUGUGAACUCUGGUUGAGAAGCCCCGUGACAGCUGUGCGGGUGGGCGUUGGUCCCAGCCCUCAUGCCGCGUGCCUGAGAUGCUGGUGCACACCCAGGAGGGGAACAGAGGCUGUCGGUGGUCGCCACGUCAGGGUGGGCCUGGCACCCUGCAGACCCAGCUGCAGUGGUCCCAGAGGGGUGCCCCCUCCAUGUGGCACACCUCAUCCCGAUCUCUUCUGUGUCUGAGGGGAGGAUGACAGCUGCCAUCUCCCUGCAGUGAUGGAUCCUGUCCCAGAGAAGAUGGGGAGACCUCAGUGGCCACUAGGAGCUGAGGGUAGCUGAGAUGAAGCUCUGAACCAUUGCCGACCUUGGGGAUGGUCCAGCUGGGCCUCUCCUGUCCCUAAGUGUGCAGAGGGGCUGCUGGCAGGAGCCCGGGCCCGUGCUUUGAGGAUGCUCAGAAAUGCCACCCUGCUUUCUCCCAUCCAGGCCCUUCUAGAACCCCGAGGGGAUGAGGCCAGAGUGGCUUUUCUGUCCCCUCCCUGUCUCCACUGUUGGGAUUGUGUAAGUAAAACAAAGCAACCCCUAGAAUAACUCAUCUUUCUGUCACAGCUGUAAGUUCCAGAAGGAUCACACACCCACUGUGAACAUCCAGUGGACACAGAACUCUCAGACUGCAGAGUGAAGUCCCUUCUCCCGAUCCUGUGUCCCAGAGGCAGCAACAGCUAGUGGUUCAGGCCUGGGUUGUAACGGUCUCUCUGUCGGGAUCUCUCCGUGUUAACGGCUCGGGCCGGUGUCAUGACGGUCUCUGUUGGGAUCUCUCCCUGUUAACGGCUCAGGCAUCAUUGUGACGGUCUCUGUCGGGAUCUCUCUGUUAAGCUGUGAGGUUAGCGGACCGGAAGGACUGCAGAUCUAACUGCUGCAGGGUGGGGUUGACUCCGAGUUGAGACUUCACGGCCUGACUGCUCUUUGCCUGAAGACCUUGGCCUCCUGGGCUGGUGGUUCUGAGCAGCGGCGGGCAGGCAGAGUGGCGGCAGCUUGGCGGGAGUUGUGACGGGGAAGUGCCCUCCUCGUCCCCGCACAGGGACACUGCCGGCGUGUCACUGUUUAACCGGCUGGAGGCGUCGCUUGCAUAGCAACUCUUUGAGCUUCCGAGCUCAGCCUGGCCUCGGGCUCUGGCACAGACUGCCGUCCGCUGCAUGCUGUCUGCCCACGACUAUGCCGUUCACACGGGUGUUGAUGUGUGUAGGUGCACACACGUGUGUGCCUCUGUGUGAGUGUGUGUGUGAAUGGGUGUGUGGUCUACUGAGCCAGCACUGGGGAAAAGAGCCGCUUUUUCUGUCUUUGCGUUGACGUUGCCUGUGGGUUGGGUUUCAUGUAAAACCAGAAGGUGAAGACAUUCCAGAAGAUCAAAGAGCGUGGAGAAGACUGGGCGUGUGUUCUAGAACAUUCUCCAGACCACACAGGGGCUCCUGGUGCUGCCCUCCACGCACAGACAACAGGAUGGGGCUACAGCACAGAGGAGGGCCACUUAGAGGAGUGGGAUGGGGGUGGUCUUCUGCACGUCAGAGCCCAGCAGAGACGGGUGGGCUCUCAGGACCUGGUGAAUUCUUUAUUUCUAGAGAGAUGCAAGCAGGCCCCAGGAGACCAUCUUCUGUUUCCUCAUGCAGGACCGAGUGGUCCUUCCUCAGAGUCCGGGUCUGGUGAGGAAGCCGUGUGCUGCCUACACACGUGGUCAUGCACAGACGUGUUUGCCACAAAUAUGACAGGGCCGACGGGGUACAGGGAGUCUAAGUUCGUGUGGGGGAGCCUCCCCUGAAGGAUGUGUAAGAUGAGCCUGCAGGAUGGGCGGCAGUCAGCCAGACAAAGGGGUGCAGUAUUCCAAGUGGAGGGCACAGGGCGUGUGGAUCCUCGGCUGGGGACAUGCGCUGCACAGCUCAUUGGAGACCUCUUGGCCGCAGAGGAAGUGAGCUCCAUCACACGGUCCCAGCACCACCCCCCUUAUGGAUGCUGGGCUGGCUGAGAGCCUCCAAAUGUGAGGGCUCCAUGUGGGAGUUCCGACAGGCAUGGUGGGGGCCCAGAGCACAGACAGCUCCGGGCCGUGCUGGAGCGAGGAGACCAAAGCCCCCCCAGGAUUUCUGUGGGCUGAGAGGAAGCCAGAGUUCUGCCCACGGGGCUCGCGGAGAUGUGGUCUCCUUGUGGAGAGGCAGAUCAGAGGCGGGCAGUCAGGCAGCCUCAGUCCAGUAGGACUGGUGUCCUUUCGAGAUGAGGGAGUUCGGACAUGGAGUGGGGGGCUGCCUGUGAAGAUGAGGCAGAGAUUGGGGUGAGGGAUCUGCGAGCCGAGGAACACCGAAUAUUUCCCUAAAGCACCGGGAGCAAGGACAGGACCAAGAAGGGUUCCUUCACUGGGGCCCCGGCCUCCCAGGCAGAGUGCUGAGGGUGUGGGGGGGACCCCAAGAGUCAGCCUAGAAAAGCAGUGUCUCCUGCUCAGAGGGGGUCUGCUGGGGCUGCUGGCCAGGGAGUAUCCCGGUCCUGUGCGUCCCCUGUGCCCAGGACCCAGGGGUCGCAGUAUACAGCCUCCCAGAGCUAAGACUAGCAAGGCACAGGGAAACUAGGGUGAGUUGGUCCCUGUGCCUGGGAGUAGCUUUGAGGAAGCCACAUCUUUGCAACCACAGAAACCCCAGGUGAGGUUCCCGGCUCGCCUGCCGAAGGGGGUGAGGUAGGCACACCCCAGCUGCUGAGGAUAAAGAGGCCGUGGCAGUGACCUCCACGGGCCACUAACCUUUCACAGACCUCACAACAGAGGCCAGUCCUAGGCCUUCCCUAAUGGAGAGAUCACUCGGUGUGCCCGUGCCCUCCAGAAUCUGUGAGGGGCGCCCGGGGCAGGGAGGCCACGUCUGAAUGCUGAGCACCCGUGCCUGUGACCUGGUGGCAGAGGUAAGGGUCUCGGGAGGAGUCUAUGCUGGGUUGUUGGCAGACCCUAGUGGCACCAUAUGGAAGGCAUGGGGGGCUUCAAAUGGGCAUGGAGAAGGCAGUGUGACGGUGAGGCUGAGCCUGGAGCCGUGGGCCACAGCUGGGACCCUGGGCAGCCUCCAGAAGCUGGAAGAGGGGAGGGGUGGGUCGGCCCAGGACCCCACAGGGCUCCUGACACCUUGAUUGUGGACCCCAGAGCUGCGAGAGGGCAGGUCUGCGUGUUCAGCUACCCAGUCUGUGGAGACCUGUUGGAGAUGCCCCAGGGAGUGAGUGUGCCUCCAAGAACAGGGGUAAGAGAAGCCAUGCCUGGGCUCCCUCUGAGCAGGGCUCCCCUUGGGGCGGGAUCCCCGUGCAGGGCAGGGGCAGGGCAGGGCAGGCUGCCGGGAGUCCUGAGCCCGCGCGUGGACAGGCUAACACACAGCACUAGCUGUUCCCCCUCUGCCUUCCCUGGGACGGGGCUUUGCCGGGCUCUGGGUUUGCGGGGACCGGUGUGCGGGCUUCUGGCCAGCGGUGGCAGGAAAGGGAGUGGGGGCAGAGGGGGAAAGCUAGUGCUAAUCUAUUUCAGCGCCUAUCCUAGGGGCUCCGCCUUUUCCAGCCGCAAAUUGUUUCCUUUGUCACUCUCCUUCUCAGGUGCUGGCGGAGCCCUGGGGGGUGGUGGGGAGGCUGCAGUCGCCAGUGCCCACCCAGCACUCACCCAGCUCCAGGGCCGCCGGGCGCUGAGCUCAGGCAGGUGCUCUGGGAGGUGGGGCAUGUGCAGGAGGUAGGGCGCGUACCUGCUUCAGGGCCUCACCUGCAGCCCCGUUGCUUCCUUGAGACACCGUCUUGGCUUGGGUCCCCGGGAAGUAGCCUGGGCAGGCAGUGCGUGUUGUUAAGUUGUGGGGCCUCCGCCUGUGGCAGGGGAGAGGCUGAGCUGCAGUGUGGUCUUUGCAGCCCCUCCCUCAGGUCAGGGUCCCAUCAGGACCCCGGAGCCCCAGGGAGACAGAGCUGGGAGCCCUGUACCCUCUGACCCCUCUUCCCACUAGGACAGAGAGGCUGGGCUGGGAGGAGGGCGAGGACACACCAGCGCCCAGCCCUCAGGCUUCCCACAGACACAUGCUCUUCCGCCUUCCUUUCCUUGGGCCUGGAUUGCUCCUCCUCCAGGCAGCCCGCUGGACUCCUUCGCUCACUUAAGUCUCCUGCUCCGCACGAGGCAGUGAACUAACGGAGGAGUCAGGAACUUUGGCGGCCAGUGUGCCCCCAAGAAGGUCUCCCCCUGCCUCUCCUCCAUCCCCCUUGCUGUCCCAGGAGCAGCAGGAAGGUGCUGGCCCUGCUGCCCCGUGCAUUCUCGGGGGGGCCCCUGUGGUGGAUGCUGUGGGACAUGGAAGACAAGUCCCCAGCUGCUGGAGGGUCUGCAGGCAGAGGGCUCCCUCAUCGCUCCCCUUCUAGGGAUUGACCCCUGAAGAGGGCUGCCUCACCCAGGAGCCUGCCCCCUUUCUGGGGUGGUCGAAUCUGUGAUCAGCCCCAGGGUAAAGAGGGCCGGCCUUCUUGUCCCAGCUCCAUGGAGCCGCGGGACGUGGUCCCAGCUCCUGAGCUGUGUGUGGGGUCGACAAAGCCCGUGGUUGCAGAUGGCUGUGGCUCAGAUUCCCUCCCCCGCCACACGGCUUCACCUCCCUCCCCUCCAGAUUACUAAGAGCUGCAGGGUGGCGUUCAGCGAGCACAGGCCCCCGAGUGGGAGCCCGAGCAGAUGUGCAGGCUGCGGGCCUGUGAGCUGGCCCCUGUCGGACCCAUCAGUGCUGGGAUGAUAGCUGCCUUUGUGAGGUGCCACCUGCCCGCGGUGGAAUGAGGCUGAGGGUCCCGGAGCUUUGGAAGCUGCCACGUUCAGGGUUGAAGCGUCGCUUCUCAGAAGGGCUGAGUGAGCUGCCGGGCCGGCCCCAGCGAGCACCUUGUUCUGGGCCCUUCCAUGCUACAGCAGAAAGUGGGGGACAGCUUAGCCUGCCACAGGGGCAGUGGGGCUCCAUCCUUCCUCAGGGCCACAGUGGUCAAAGCCUUUCAGGGGCGGUGCUCAGGGCUUGCCAGACCCAGCGGUGAGGAGCAGGAAGGUUCACCUGGGAAGCCUGUGGUGGUUCCUGACAUGGCAGAGUCUUGCUGGAAUGAUCUGCUUGCAGAUAGAUGGCUGCGGAGGACAGGGGGACGUGUGGCUUCUGGCCAGCAGCUGGCAGACAGCAAGCUUCCCAGAUCUGCUCGGCUGGGGUCCAGGCUGUCAGCAGCCUGACCUGUCGGGUCCCGCUGUCCCCACCCAGCACACUCUUUAUGGACUCAGGAUUCAGACACUGUCUUCAAGAGCGGCCCAUUUCAGGAGCACUGGACCUGGAGCUGCAGGCUGGCCCAGGGUGGCUAUGGACCUGGGGUGGGGCCGGGAGCAGGUGCUGGGCUGCUUCUGUCCAGAGGCUUCCCGCUCCAAAUGCAGCUUCAGCGUGCCGAGACCCAGGCUCCCCUGGCGGCUGUGUGAUGGGGGCAGGGCAGAGAUGUGAGUGUCUGCCUGUCCCUUCACCUCCCACGUCGCCCUGGACAUGGGGGCACCCGGGAGGGCGGCUCUGUGGGGAACAUGCAGAGGGGGCUGUGACUCCCGAUGACCUUGGGUGGCACUCCACGGUCUCAAAAGGCCUUCAAUGCUUUCUCCUCUUUGACCCUGACCAUGACCUCCAGGGUAAGAUGAAGCACCACAGGGCAGAAAGUUCCAGAACUUACCCAGGUUUCCCUGCAGAAGGACUUGGUCAAGGUUUAAGCUGAGAUCAGCCCAGUUCAGAAACCCAUGCCCGUGCUACUGUCCAGACGGUGGUUCUCAAACAGGAUAGCGCUCCCAGAUUUCCUGGAGUGUGCGUGGAAACACAGGUGGCUGUCUGUGAGUCAGUGGGUCUGGGUGGGUGCUGAGAAUCUGCUUUUCUGACAGGUUCCCAGGUGCUGCCGAUGCUGCUGGCUGCAGACCCACUUUUGCGUACCCCAGCCCAGAAACCCUUCCCUCGGGUUCAGCCUGCGUGAUGCCGCAGCUCCACCAAGUGAGCGUUCUCCUGGUGCCCGUGUUGUGGACGAGGAGGUGUGGGCACAGGGCCACACACCCCGCAGACAGCAGGCUUGGGCUUCAAGCCCAGGCAGUCCGGCUCUGGAGCCCAUGCUGACCUGCAGCCCCCCUCUGCCUCUGGUGUGGAAACAGCACCAGCCUGGGUCUAGCAAGCCUGGGCGUGAGCCCCUGACCACCACUUACUGCUGUAAGAAUGACCUUGGGCACGUCCAGUGCCCUUCCGAGCCUCCGUGUUCAGGUUUCUGAAGUGGGGAGAGUAGUGGCACCUGCUCCGUGGGGUUCUCAGGGUCAGAGAUGUCAACCUGAACGGGCCUGGAGGAAGGGCGGGCAUACAGCAGGUGCUCGUUAAGCAGUCAUUAGUGCUGUGGAGGCUGCAGAGGGGCGCAAAAACAGUCAGGUGACACCCUCCCCAUCAUCCAGCUCUGGAUCUGGGGCCCACAGUGCUCCCUCUCCGACCUCCUCUCUCAGGCAAACCUAGAGCUCUCGACAGGAGCCUAGGAUCCCCGUUUCCGGCCAGCCUGGGACCACGGCAGCUUUGGAAGCGAGUCACAUCAUGAACACGGGCAGAACAGAGGAAUCCUGUGUUCUCGCUAUGGAGGGAAGUGGGACCCAACGGUCCUGCUCCUAUCCCUGGGGCCAGACCAGGGGCCCAAGCACGGAGCCCUCAGCAUGUGGGCAGCCCUGCUCCUGCAGUUCAGGUGGGACAGGCAGAUCCCAGUCCCUCUGGCAGGUGCAACAUUGCACGUGCCCGCCUGUUUCUGGACUCCUCUUACAGCCCACGGGGGUUUCUUGGUCAGGUGUCGUGGCUUUUACUAAGUUGCAUUACUUGGGGUGCAGGAGAAUGUAGAUUCUAGAAUUCCAUAGAACUGACUUUGAACCCCAGCCCAGGCACAUCUGAGCUGUUUCUCAGCAUUUACCAUGUGGUGGAUGCCAGUCUAAGUGCUCUCUAUAAGUGAACUCAAUCUCUGGAUCGCCCAUACAAGGUACUUAAUGUUCCUCUGUUUUGGAAGUAAGGAAAUGAAGCACAGAGAAGUUAAGUAACUUGCCGAAGCUCACACAGCGAGCAGAGCUGGGAUUUGAACCCCAAGAUACUGGCU